rnacentral:rRNA from 1 species
GCUACAGGGGAGCUUGCUCCCUGGGUGACGAGCGGCGAGUCGACGGGUAGAGUAAUGUCUGGGAAACUGCCUGACGUGGAGGGGGAUAACUACUGGAAAGGUAGCUAAUACCGCAUAACGUCGCAAGACCAAAGAGGGGGACCUUCGGGCCUCUUGCCAUCAGAUGUGCCCAGAUGGGAUUAGCUAGUAGGUGGGGUAAUGGCUCACCUAGGCGACAGAUCCCUAGCUCUGAGAGGAUGACCAGCCACACUGGAACUGAGACACGGUCCAGACUCCUACGGAGGGAGGCAGCAGUGGGGAAUAUUGCACAAUGGGCGCAAGCCUGAUGCAGCCAUGCCGCGUGUGUGAAGAAGGCCUUCGGGUUGUAAAGCACUUUCAGCGAGGAGGGAAGGUGGUGAGCUUAAUACGUUCAUCAAUUGUCGGUUACAUCGCAGAAGAAGCACCGGCUAACUCCGUGCCAGCAGUGCCGCGGUAAUACGGAGGGUGCAAGCGUUAAUCGGAAUUACUGGGCGUAAAGCGCACGCAGGCGGUUUGUUAAGUCAGAUGUGAAAUCCCCGGGCUCAACUGGGAACUGCAUUUGAAACUGGCAAGCUAGAGUCUCGUAGAGGGGGGUAGAAUUCCAGGUGUAGCGGUGAAAUGCGUAGAGAUCUGGAGGAAUACCGGUGGCGAAGGCGGCCCCCUGGACGAAGACUGACGCUCAGGUGCGAAAGCGUGGGGAGCAAACGGAUUAGAUACCCUGGUAGUCCACGCUGUAAACGAUGUCGAUUUGGAGGUUGUGCCCUUGAAGUUUCGUGGCUUCCGGAGCUAACGCGUUAAAUCGACCCCUGGGGAGUACGGCCGCAAGGUUAAAACUCAAAUGAAUUGACGGGGGCCCGCACAAGCGGUGGAGCAUGUGGUUUAAUUCGAUGCAACGCGAAGAACCUUACCUACUCUUGACAUCCAGAGAACUUUCCAGAGAUGGAUUGGUGCCUGGGCGGGAACUCUGAGACAGGUGCUGCAUGGCUGUACGUCAGCUCGUGUUGUGAAAUGUUGGGUUAAGUCCCGCAACGAGCGCAACCCUUAUCCUUUGUUGCCAGCGGUUCGGCCGGGAACUCAAAGGAGACUGCCAGUGAUAAACUGGAGGAAGGUGGGGAUGACGUCAAGUCAUCAUGGCCCUUACGAGUAGGGCAUACACACGUGCUACAAUGGCAUCUGAUACAAUGCAAGAGAAGCGACCUCGCGAGAAAGCGGACCUCAUAAAGUAUGUCGUAGUCCGGA